AACGAACGCUGGCGGCAUGCCUAACACAUGCAAGUCGAACGAGACCUUCGGGUCUAGUGGCGCACGGGUGCGUAACGCGUGGGAACCUGCCCUUAGGUUCGGAAUAACUCCCCGAAAGGGGUGCUAAUACCGGAUAAUGUCUUCGGACCAAAGAUUUAUCGCCUUUGGAUGGGCCCGCGUUGGAUUAGCUAGUUGGUAGGGUAAAAGCCUACCAAGGCGACGAUCCAUAGCUGGUCUGAGAGGAUGAUCAGCAACACUGGGACUGAGACACGGCCCAGACUCCUACGGGAGGCAGCAGUGGGGAAUAUUGGACAAGGGGCGAAAGCCUGAUCCAGCAAUGCCGCGUGAGUGAUGAAGGCCUUAGGGUUGUAAAGCUCUUUUACCCGGGAUGAUAAUGACAGUACCGGGAGAAUAAGCUCCGGCUAACUCCGUG
rnacentral:rRNA from 1 species